rnacentral:rRNA from 1 species
AGUUGUGGCCACACUUAUUCUUGAAGCUUGAUCUCAUCAGAUCUCAGAAGCUGAGCGAGGACAGGCCUGGUUAGUGCUUGGAUGGGAGACCACUGAGAAUAUCAAGUGCCACAGUGG